CCUACGGGGCGCAGCAGUGGGGAAUAUUGCACAAUGGGGGAAACCCUGAUGCAGCCAUGCCGCGUGUGUGAAGAAGGCCUUCGGGUUGUAAAGCACUUUCAGUAGGGAGGAAGGUAGUGUAGUUAACACCUGCAUUACUUGACGUUACCUACAGAAGAAGCACCGGCUAACUCCGUGCCAGCAGCCGCGGUAAUACGGAGGGUGCGAGCGUUAAUCGGAAUUACUGGGCGUAAAGCGCAUGCAGGCGGCCUGUUAAGUCAGAUGUGAAAGCCCGGGGCUUAACCUCGGAAUUGCAUUUGAAACUGGCAGGCUAGAGUCUUGUAGAGGGGGGUAGAAUUUCAGGUGUAGCGGUGAAAUGCGUAGAGAUCUGAAGGAACACCAGUGGCGAAGGCGGCUUACUGGUCUGCAACUGACGCUGAGGCGCGAAAGCGUGGGGAGCAAACAGGAUUAGAUACCCGAGUAGUC
rnacentral:rRNA from 1 species